CUACAAUACAUUUUUGGGGUAAGUGGGACUUUAACAUUAUCGCUGCACUACAAAGACACUCAUAUGCACUGAGAGCUGGCCUAAGCACAGGGCUGUGUUUCCUGUUCUGCACUCACACACCAGCUUUCAAAGCGAAGGACCUUUGGCCUCCCAGGCAGGACUAGAAGAUCCUGGAAGAAAUGUGCGAACUGGGAAAAUCUCCAUGUGACGCAGCAAUGGGCAAUGCACAUAACAUUUUCACGGCUCAGAACGUUCAGGCCAUUCGGUGCUUCUGCAUACAAAUCCCGCAAAAGAAUACAAGAAAAGAUCACCUCACAUUGC